rnacentral:pre_miRNA from 1 species
UAUAUAUCCCUUAAUCAGAGACAGUGUGAGAAAAUGUUUAAGUAAUAGUUAACAUUUUCUCACACUGUCUCUGAUUAAGGGAUAUAUAAA